AUGCCGGGUGCCCAUGGCCGCUGGCGAGAAAAAGAAGAGGUGUGUGCAUCCGGCUCCCUAGAGCCGGCUGAAGAAAAGGCUGGGUGCCCACGGCCGACCGGCAGAGAAAAAAAAGAAGUGUGCGCAUCCGGCUCCUCAGAGCCGGCUGAAGAAAAGGCCGGGUGCCCACGGCCGACCGACAGAGAAAAAGAAAGAAAUAUGCGUCCGACCGUUGUCUACCUGGCCGGCUGCAAAGAGCUCGACUGCUAUGUCGGAGUCCGCCUGCCCAGCCGGCUGAACAAGAAAAAGAAGAACACAAAGUAG
rnacentral:rRNA from 1 species